CUUUUUGGAAAAAGAUUGAUCCUGGCUCAGGACGAACGCUGGCGGCGUGCCUAAUACAUGCAAGUCGAGCGAACAGAAAAGGAGCUUGCUCCUUUGACGUUAGCGGCGGACGGGUGAGUAACACGUGGGCAACCUACCCUAUAGUUUGGGAUAACUCCGGGAAACCGGGGCUAAUACCGAAUAAUCUCUUUUGCUUCAUGGUGAAAGACUGAAAGACGGUUUCGGCUGUCGCUAUAGGAUGGGCCCGCGGCGCAUUAGCUAGUUGGUGAGGUAACGGCUCACCAAGGCGACGAUGCGUAGCCGACCUGAGAGGGUGAUCGGCCACACUGGGACUGAGACACGGCCCAGACUCCUACGGGAGGCAGCAGUAGGGAAUCUUCCACAAUGGGCGAAAGCCUGAUGGAGCAACGCCGCGUGAGUGAAGAAGGUUUUCGGAUCGUAAAACUCUGUUGUAAGGGAAGAACAAGUACAGUAGUAACUGGCUGUACCUUGACGGUACCUUAUUAGAAAGCC
rnacentral:rRNA from 1 species